UCCUGUGUGGCUCAGUUGGUAGAGCAUGGUGUUUGCAAUGCCAGAUUUGUAGGUUCAAUUCCCACGGGGG
rnacentral:tRNA from 1 species